rnacentral:rRNA from 1 species
CAGUCGCCGCGGUAAGACGAACCGUGCGGACGUUAUUCGGAAUCACUGGGCUUAAAGCGCGUGUAGGCGGGCCGCCACGUCGGCUGCUGAAAUCCCCCGGCUCAACCGGGGAACGGGCACCGAUACGAGCGGCCUCGAGGGGGGUAGGGGGGUCUGGAACUUCCGGUGGAGCGGUGAAAUGCGUUGAGAUCGGAAGGAACGCCCGUGGCGAAAGCGAGGCCCUGGACCCUUUCUGACGCUGAGACGCGAAAGCCAGGGGAGCGAACGGGAUUAGAUACCCCAGUAGUCCCUGUCUCUUAUU